rnacentral:rRNA from 1 species
UGAGUAACACGUAUCCAACCUGCCGUCUACUCUUGGACAGCCUUCUGAAAGGAAGAUUAAUACAAGAUGGCAUCAUGAGUCCGCAUGUUCGCAUGAUUAAAGGUAUUCCGGUAGACGAUGGGGAUGCGUUCCAUUAGAUAGUAGGCGGGGUAACGGCCCACCUAGUCUUCGAUGGAUAGGGGUUCUGAGAGGAAGGCCCCCCACAUUGGAACUGAGACACGGUCCAA